rnacentral:rRNA from 1 species
UACGGAGGAUCCAAGCGUUAUCCGGAAUUACUGGGCGUAAAGAGUUGCGUAGGUGGCAUAGUAAGCAUGCGGUGAAAGCGUCUCGCUCAACGAGAUAAACAUCGCAUGAACUGCUAAGCUAGAGGAUGAGAGAGGUAGAUGGAAUUGCUAGUGUAGGAGUGAAAUCCGUAGAUAUUAGCAGGAACACCGAUGGCGUAGGCAGUCUACUGGCUCAUUCCUGACACUAAGGCACGAAAGCGUGGGGAGCAAACUGG